rnacentral:rRNA from 1 species
UUUAUGGAGAGUUUGAUCCUGGCUCAGGAUGAACGCUGGCGGCGUGCCUAAUACAUGCAAGUCGAGCGAACGGAUGAGAAGCUUGCUUCUCUGAUGUUAGCGGCGGACGGGUGAGUAACACGUGGAUAACCUACCUAUAAGACUGGGAUAACUUCGGGAAACCGGAGCUAAUACCGGAUAAUAUUUUGAACCGCAUGGUUCAAAAGUGAAAGACGGUCUUGCUGUCACUUAUAGAUGGAUCUGCGCUGCAUUAGCUAGUUGGUAAGG